rnacentral:rRNA from 1 species
GACGAACGCUGGCGGCGUGCUUAACACAUGCAAGUCGAACGGAAAGGCCCUGCUUUUGUGGGGUGCUCGAGUGGCGAACGGGUGAGUAACACGUGAGUAACCUGCCCUUGACUUUGGGAUAACUUCAGGAAACUGGGGCUAAUACCGGAUAGGAGCUCCUGCUGCAUGGUGGGGGUUGGAAAGUUUCGGCGGUUGGGGAUGGACGCGCGGCUUAUCAGCUUGUUGGUGGGGUAGUGGCUUACCAAGGCUUUGACGGGUAGCCGGCCUGGGAGGGUGACCGGCCACAUUGGGACUGCGAUACGGCCCAGACUGCAACGGGAGGCAACAGUGGGGAAUAUUGCACAAUGGGCGGAAGCCUGAUGCAGCAACGCCGCGUGCGGGAUGACGGCCUUCGGGUUGUAAACCGCUUUCGCCUGUGACGAAGCGUGAGUGACGGUAAUGGGUAAAGAAGCACCGGCUAACUACGUG